GGGAUGCUGGAUGUUCGAAGGAUUGAAUUGCACGGUAACUUACCACUGAAGGAUAUCUUUGAAAUUUUCAUCAAAAAAUUUUACAUCUUCUGGGUAGGCAUGACACAUUGCUAGAUGUCAAUCAUGUCUUGUAGGUUUUCAUAAAUUAAAGAUUUUAAUUCAUGGGUUAAUUAGAAAGGGUUUUAAUUUGACAACUUGGAUAUGCAUCGGUUUGACCUAAUUCAGUUAGAUGGACUCUAAUCAAUUCGGGUCAACAUAAAUUCGGAUCUACUGCUGGCUAGAUAUGGAACUCAAAGGGUCACACACAUCAAGAAAUCAGUCAAAGAUUUUAUUUGAUUUAAUCAUGGGAUAUUGGAUCCAGAUUGGGUGCCUAAUUGACAAGCUAGCACUUGUUGGCGAACCAAAGCUCCUAACCUAAUCUAUUUGGGUUUGAAACCUUUCCAAUAAGUCAACCAAAAUUAAGUGGGACUUAAUUUGGUUAGUCUUAUUUUAAUCAGCCUUAAUUUAUAAUUUUUUCAUGAUUUUAACAUCAUUUAUCAAGAGUCCCAAGUUGGUAGGACUCUUGGUGCAAGGCG
rnacentral:lncRNA from 1 species